GAUGAACGCUGACAGAAUGCUUAACACAUGCAAGUCUUUGGCGAAUCUGUGCUUGCACGGGCUAGCCAAGGCGGACGGGUGAGUAACGCGUAAAGAACUUGCCCUGCAGACAGGGAUAACAGACGGAAACGACUGAUAACACCUGAUACAGUUGCCGGCACGCAUGUGCCUGGCAAUGAAAAGAGAUGCUGCAGGAGAGCUUUGCGUCCUAUUAGCUUGUUGGUGAGGUGACGGCUCACCAAGGCGAUGAUAGGUAGCCGGCCUGAGAGGGUGAACGGCCACAAGGGGACUGAGAUACGGCCCUUACUCCUACGGGAGGCAGCAGUGGGGAAUAUUGGACAAUGGGGGCAACCCUGAUCCAGCAAUUCUGUGUGCACGAAGAAGGUUUUCGGAUUGUAAAGUGCUUUCAGCAGGGAAGAAGAAAGUGACGGUGCCUGCAGAAGAAGCGACGGCUAAAUACGUG
rnacentral:rRNA from 1 species